rnacentral:rRNA from 1 species
AUUGAACGCUGGCGGCAUGCCUUACACAUGCAAGUCGAACGAGUGGCGAACGGGUGAGUAAUACAUCGGAACGUGCCCAGUCGUGGGGGAUAACUACUCGAAAGAGUAGCUAAUACCGCAUACGAUUGGAGCGGCCGAUGGCAGAUGAGGGAGUGGGUGGGAUAAAAGCUUCCGAAGGCGACGAGCUGUAUCUGGUCUGAGAGGACGACCAGCCACACGGGGACUGAGAAACGGCCAAGACUCCUACGGGAGGCAGCAGUGGGGAAUUUUGGACAAUGGGCGAAAGCCUGAUCCAGCAAUGCCGCGUGCAGGAAGACGGCCUUCGGGUUGUAAACUGCUUUUGUACGGAACGCGGUACCGUAAGAAUAAGCACCGGCUAACUACGUGCCAGCAGCCGCGGUAAUUC